rnacentral:rRNA from 13 species
AGAACGUCGUGAGACAGUUCGGUCCCUAUCUGCCGUGGGCGCUGGAGAAUUGAGGGGGGCUGCUCCUAGUACGAGAGGACCGGAGUGGACGCAUCACUGGUGUUCGGGUUGUCAUGCCAAUGGCACUGCCCGGUAGCUAAAUGCGGAAGAGAUAAGUGCUGAAAGCAUCUAAGCACGAAACUUGCCCCGAGAUGAGUUCUCCCUGACUCCUUGAGAGUCCUGAAGGAACGUUGAAGACGACGACGUUGAUAGGCCGGGUGUGUAAGCGCAGCGAUGCGUUGAGCUAACCGGUACUAAUGAACCGUGAGG